UGUGCUAGUUGAAGAUUGUCUGCGAUGCAAACUCGCUAUAAGUUUUUGCACUCAACUUUGUUCUUUCUUCAGGUGUCCAUCAUAACCCCGAGACUUACAAGCGCAGCCACCAACGAUGCUUGAAUUGCAGAUGCAGAUUCAACGACGUCUUGAUCGUUCGUGGAAUGGGGUUCCCGACUCUAGAACCAUACCAUUCUGACCGGUUCUUGUUGAAACCAAUAAAUGGGGUGCAAAUGCCGAUGCAGCCAGAAAGGAAGAAGUCGACGACCACAUUUUUCGGUGCUGUUGUCAGUUCUGAUUUUGGCAAGGAUGCGUGGUUGACUGUUCUUUCGGAAGUUUCACGGUGUG